AGUUAGUGUGUUGAAAUGAAGUUAUGCCUCAAAGUGUUACCACCUGGUGAUCAGUGUCAGGAGGCUGUUGUUGAUCAGAUACCAGUCUUCUUUCGUUCGAAAUUAUUUAAUAUCUUAUCGCAGCAAGCACCAUCAGUGGUGAUCUUCUACUUGACCCUCCCCCUUGGUUCUAGCAUCUAGUGUCAUGGCGAAAGUGUUGCAAAUACGUCAAUCGAGUCUCGCUACGUUAUCAACCCUCGCCGUUUGCCAGCAGGCAGAUGCAACAUAAGCCAACAUUUUUCCUGCCCACCCUGACCCUCCCACGCUACGUCACUGCAGACAAGGAAGGGAAACCCAACCACAAACAUCCAAUGGAGACACAUUCUGAUGUCAGGUGUGAGCUGACUUAGCCGUCUGAACAUGGAGUCAUGCGUCUGAGCAGGACACACUCGCUGGAUCCAUCAGCGGCCCGUCCUCCUCAUCUCAUCUGUCGGCGUCUGUCUCCGCGAGACAGCGGUCACCUUUUAGCCCGGGGAACGGCUCGGCCCUCAGUCCCACCUCCCACCGAGACAACGGGGUCAAAACCAAUCCAACCCAGGAAGUGAUUUUACGCCCUUCACACAUGUGAUGAGCUCUUAAAGUGCAGUGUUUGGACGGUGGGGAGGAUGGAAAAUUAAGAGACCUCACAACAAGUUCCCACCCUUUAAUGAAGAUCCAUCUCUCCUAUCUUCUCGCAUCACCAUGACAAUACUGAAUAUUACAAAUAAAACUAAGAGGUAUUUUAAGUUCACUUUAUUCAACUAGAACCAAUAUGUCAUUUAAAAAGAAUGA